CGACACAGAGACACCUCUCUCGCACUUCCUUUACUACGUUUUGAAUAAACACAAAACUCAAGAUUCGCCAUUUUUACAUCUUUUGCAUCAUGAGCUUGAGCUGAGGAUUAAAAGAUACGAAGCUGUCGCGCUAUCCGAGCCCAUGAUACCCAGUGUACCGAGUUCCGAUAGCGGUUUUAGAGGGAAAGAAAGAGAGAGAGAGCCUCAAAUGAAACGUCCAGAUAUCAAAUCAAAUCGAAAACACAUCGUGUUCGUAUCGUGUGCGCAGCACUUAUCACGAGGAUCUAGUUUUUAAACGUAGAAGAAGAAGAAGAAACAAUAUCGCGAGAGGGCAUAAGCGCAAGCGCAAGCACUUACACUUACAUCGUCUCUUGAUUCUAACCAACGGGCGACAUACCACUGUCGUCUAACUGUGUCUUCGAUGAGUAUCAAUCUCGUUCAUUGUCAAUCUUGCUUUGCGCCAAUCAAUCCCCAUUCCCCGGGGGUGGCUAUGCUACAGUAUAUUAUACCUCUUCAGGUCGGUAGCUGUCGCAGAGGCAGAAGCAUAAGGCCACACUCUUUCGGACAAAUAAUAAUCACAAUAACUAGCGAAAACACUCACACCCUCACACAAGCCCCUAUUGGGUUUUAUUAUCUAAGUGUAACAUGUGAAGUUCGUGUACAAGAAAGCGAAAGAGAGAAAGUUGCAUCUAAUGAAACGAAACGAAACAAUCUGUUCCUGCAGAAAAGAGGGGCGAAAGAAGAAGGGAAUGCGUGCGAGGCAUGGCUUAGUACGCAAACGGGCGAAGAAGGAAAGGGAGGACAUCUAUCUAAACCAAACAACCAAGCGUCGUAGACAAGAAGAGGCUAGAUAACGCAACGCAUUAUCGGAUAAUUAUUAUUAAUUGGAAUUAUUUAUUUUAUACUUGACCGACUUUUCUCUCUCUUUAUUAUCUUUUGUUUGUUUGUUUUUUUUCCGUUUUGUGUUGAUUUCUUAUCGUUAUAUUUUUUCUCGCUCUCAAUAACUUUAUUUAUUAUUUUCUUUUCGAUUUACUUCUUUAUAAGUAGUAUCACUUUUCUCUUAUCAGUAUCACAGCUCUUUUUAUUUGAAAAUUAAGUUCUCAGUCUCUCAAUGUUGAUAUAGUUGGUAUUUAUUUGCAUUUCUUUCUCAUACUGCUUUUUGUUUCAAUAUCUGUAACCUCGUUGAUUCCUUUUUUCUUAUCCAUUGAUAAUACCUCGUGUACAUAUAUAUAUAUAUAUAUAAAUAUAUUAAAGCGCUUUGCUGCUAUAAUGGGAAAGCAAAAAAGAAAACAGGACUAAGCAGGUCCCUCGUUCAGCAAUCAUUUACGUGUCGUGUUGUUACUUGUCGAUGAUGAUGGUUAGCUUGGCUCCAAAAUGUUUGUUCUUCUCCAAUAACAAGGCGUAUAAGAAAGCCAAACAAGCGCAAGCAAAAACAACAACAAAAAUACAAUAACUAGAGUAGAGAACAGCGCGGGCGAGAGUGAUAACUGUGGAAGCGUAGAAAGCUGAAUUAAACUCGAAUUCGUAAUCGGAAAACAUUGUGUAAUCCUAUCCCGCUAAGGAGCAGCAGCAUUAAAACCUACUAACCAAAUAAUUAAGGCAAGACACACAGCAGACCGAUCAGCGAAGGAAAUGCUCUUGAAUAGUAACGUAGCCUAUUUUAACGUGAAAGACGCGCGAGGGCGCACUCGAUCUGAAUCUGUUAAGAGUGCAGAAGGUGAAGGCAGCAUUAUUUUUGUACGCACUAGCUUUGGCCACCUAUACUUCCAUUGAGCGUGAUCUACAUCCAAAAGCUGGGGAGUUGAUGGGGCCGUGUGCUUCGAAACAUGGAUAAGGAAUGUAAUCGCUAUGAGGAUGCAACAAAGGGAAAUAAUUUUGCUGCUGUAAAGCGCUACUUCUAGAUAUACACUAUAUAUAUAUAUAAAUAUAUAUAUUAUACAUGGAGAAGCUGCGACUAACACUGUAUGGGAGGAUGGGAGGGAGGGGAUCUAGGUGAAGGAAGGACAGGUGGCAUUGAGAUGUAACUAUUACAUUAGUUAAUGCGAUAAUUCCAGCUUAGCGAGAGUGGCACAUGAAAAGAGAGAGAGAGCGGUAUCGAUGCGGCCAAUCUCCAACUCUCCACCGUGUCUAUCCAGCAUCUCACGUUUCACAAAUCUCUACCGUACGUUUCGCGUGCGCGUCGUCCUGUGUAGAAUGUAAGAAUUUGUGCGAGGUGACUAUAGGUGGUUAGGUAGCAGCAUCACUUGCCGGGAAUACACUCCCGUGACGCUGUUCCUUUCGUUUGCUCCUAAUGUGGCGCGCCAUGCCAUGGCGCAGAACUCGAUCGAUCGUCCAACGGAACGAACUCUAAUGUAUCAUUGUACACUGAAAUAAAAACGACAACAAAAAACACAUACAUAAUAUCAAACAACUCCAAUGCGUGGUAAGAGUUUUC